UUUUAGCAUGGUGGCACAUGCCUGUAGUUCCAGCUGCUCAGGAGGCUGAGGUGGGAGGAUCACUUGAGUCUGGGAGCUCUGGGCUGCUGGGCGCUGUGCCAAUCUGAUGUCUACACUAAGUUGGGCAUCAUUAUGGUGACUUCCCAGGAGAAGGGACCACCAGCAUUGCCUAAGGAGGGGUGAACCGGCCCGGGUCAGAAAUGGAGCAGGUCAAAAUUCCCGUGCUGAUCAAAUAUAGACAAGGUCAUAUAAUAUAGUAAUUUACUUGCCAUAUAUGAAUCCAUUCCUCC
ensembl:misc_RNA Metazoa_SRP Metazoan signal recognition particle RNA